CUUUGUCAUUGUUGGUGUUCAGAUACUCAUUUUAUCGUAAAAAUAUUUGAUUGAUGGUUGCGCCUAAAUAAUCUAACGGUGACCACAGCUGUUAAGUAUCAACGGCUAAUGUUGUUCCUCUAUCGCGGGAAAACCAUGUGAAGGUAUAGUAAAUUUGGCGGGAAUUGUAGAGAGACUAUUUUUGUGGGGUUAGGAUAUUCUUCUUUUUCAUGGGGUGGGGUUAGGAUAAUUAAUUAAAUUAAACAAUAAAAUAAAUGAAUUUGAUUUUAUGCUUUGUUUCUUCUCCAACUGCAAGAGAGGGAAAUUUCCAGUGUUGACUGUUGUAUCGAACAACGACGACAACAAGGUACAUCCUUCUGUACACAUGGACCCACCCUACCAUGAAUUUCGGUUGUCACUUUGUGUUUGUAUUUUUUAAUACAUAUAUCUGCAAAAAGAAAUUAGGUUGGAAUCAUGCAAAAUUAAUCUUUCUAACUUUUUUUUAAAGAGAAUUCAUCUUUCUAAUGGGAUGAAAUUAAAAUGGAUAUCAAAAUUCUCUUUCAACAAGAUAAUCAACA
rnacentral:lncRNA from 1 species